AACGAACGCUGGCGGCAUGCCUAACACAUGCAAGUCGAACGAGCCCUUCGGGGCUAGUGGCGCACGGGUGCGUAACGCGUGGGAAUCUGCCCAAAGGUUCGGAAUAACUCGGGGAAACCCGUGCUAAUACCGGAUAAUGUCUUCGGACCAAAGAUUUAUCGCCUUUGGAUGAGCCCGUGUCGGAUUAGCUUGUUGGUGAGGUAAAAGCUCACCAAGGCGACGAUCCGUAGCUGGUCUGAGAGGAUGAUCAGCCACACUGGGACUGAGACUCGGCCCAGACUCCUACGGGAGGCAGCAGUGGGGAAUAUUGGACAAUGGGCGAAAGGCCUGAUCCAGCAAUGCCGCGUGAGUGAUGAAGGCCUUAGGGUUGUAAAGGCUCUUUUGCCCGGGAUGAUAAUGACAGUACCGGGAGAAUAAGCUCCGGCUAACUCCGUGCCAGCAGCCGCGGUAAUACGGAGGGAGCUAGCGUUGUUCGGAUUACUGGGCGUAAAGCGCGCGUA
rnacentral:rRNA from 1 species